rnacentral:rRNA from 1 species
GAUGAACGCUAGCUGGAGGCUUAAUACAUGCAAGUCGAGCGGGAUUGGGUAGCAAUACCCAUGAGAGCGGCGCACGGGUGAGUAACGCGUACACGACCUACCUCUGACAGGGGGAUAGCCCUGGGAAACUGGGAUUAAUACCGCAUAUUAUUCUGAAUAAUAAAGGUUUGGAAUGAAAGCUGAGGCGGUCAGAGAUGGGUGUGCGUCUGAUUAGCUAGUUGGUAGGGUAACGGCCUACCAAGGCGAUGAUCAGUAGGGGGCGUGAGAGCGUGGUCCCCCACACGGGUACUGAGACACGGACCCGACUCCUACGGGAGGCAGCAGUAAGGAAUAUUGGACAAUGGGCGGAAGCCUGAUCCAGCCAUGCCGCGUGAAGGACGAAGGCGCUCAGCGUUGUAAACUUCUUUUGGAUGGGAACAAUAACUCCGACUUGUCGGAACUUGAGGGUACCAUCAGAAUAAGCACCGGCUAACUCCGUGCCAGCAGCCGCGGUAAAGUCG